GGCGGCGUGGUGUAAUGGAUAACACAUCAGUCCGGUCUACUGAAGAUGCUGGUUCACUACCAGCCGCCUA